UCCAUGAUGGUUCACAGAAAAGAGUAGCAUUUUAUAAAAAGCCCUGGAUCUCCCUUGAGAUUUUAUCUUUGCCUUAAAAGAGUAUUUUAAAGAAAUCCUGGCCUAUGGAAUGAUCGAUCGGUUUUAAACAAAUACAAGGAAGUUAAAUUUAGGAGAUCUUCUCCAAAGCCAAGGUGGUUUAAUUGAUAUUUCCAAAAUCAUGCUUACUUUUUAAAAAUUGGUUUAACUGUGGCAUAAGUGGAAUCAUUCCAAUUCUAAGCUUUUUUUUUUUUCCUUUCUUGCUACUAAUUAAAUUUCUCUAGUAAAACAAGAACACCAAAUUCAAGAAUUCUAAACCAAAAGCUCCUUGAGUUUUUUUUUACCGCUUAAAUAAGGAACACUCACACCAUGCAAAUACCAAAGAACUAUUUGAGUUAGAAAAUUUUUUGGAUAUUUUAACUUAACCAGAAUUUAAACAGAAAAAUUAC
rnacentral:lncRNA from 1 species